UUCAGUGUCCCAAAGUCACCGCUUUGAUAUGUAGUGAAGUACUCCAAGUGUAGAGUGACAUGGAAAGAGGCUCCAGAAUCAACAACCCAUGCAACACUGAGACAAUCAUCAACAUGUAAGCAUUCACCUUCAAGACAAAGGAACUCACACUCAUCAUGAGACACGGAAGCUGCAGUGUUUCACUUCGGUCCAUGAAUUUGAAAUAUCAUAUAAAACCUGGAAAACCUCCGUCCCUCCCUUACUCUGCCGAAAUUGCAAGCCUAAACCCCUAAAUCCAAAACUAAUGGCGGACAACCUACCCGAAGAUCUGAUAGUUCAAAUCUUGGAGAAGUUGCCGAUCAAGUCCCUAAUCCGCUUCACCUCGGUUUCGAAACGCUGGCGUCUCAUCAUAUUGUCCGACCCCAACUUCGCCAAAUCCCAAUUCCAGCAAACCCGGAGUCGCAGAGUCCUCUGCCUCAACCGCAAAGAAUCUGAAUUCGAAUCCUGGGACUUGGAGACACCGUGGUCCACCGGAGAAAGCUCUACUGACAGAAAGCUAAGAUGCCCAUUCAAGCAACCGGGCGAUGAACUCUACUCACUCUCCUCCUGCAAUGGUUUAGUAUGUGCUGAUAAAUUUGUGACAGUGGCCUUCCCUACCAGGCUGCUACAUGCGGUUGCCAUGAUGCAAUAUAAUGGAGAUUGCACACUCUGUUUCAUCACUUUUCUGUUUUAUAGUCCUGAUUUUGCAUAACCAGUCAAUAUGUAAUACAUGCAAAAAGAUGGCAUUUGGUUAUAGAUUUCCUUCCAUCUCUUUCUUAUUUUGUAUUUGCGAAUUGGAUAUGUAAUACAUGUAAACAAAGGUGUCAGAAGUUACUCUCUGACUGUAAAUUGCUCUGUUUGUGGUUCAAGAGACCAUAACAACCGGACCUGCCCUAUGGAACUAGCCAAGAAGGCUAGGAAUGCUUCAGAAGAUAGGGGGCAGAAUAAUGGAGAACAAGGCAGAAUGAAUGUCAAUGUGGAUAACCAAGGGUUAAGGCUGCGUUUGGGGGGGCUUUUUUGCUCCCCCGCUUAUAAGCGCCUCGACCUCUCGCGUUUGGUAAACCAGCUUCUCCUCUACUUUUUCCAGAAGCCAGAGCUUAUUCGAUGGAAAAGCCAAAGCCGCCAGGGCCCUGCUUCUAAAAGCCGGAGAUGGCUUUUGUCACUGUAGCGGUGUUACUGUAGUUUAAUGAACUUUCAGAAAUACCGAUUUCUAUCCUCUCUUCGUUUCAGCAAUUACACAAUGCCAUAAAAAUUUUCUCUUCCGUGUUCACCUCUCUUCAUUUCGGAAAUACCGUCUUCAUGACUGUGGUUUGAUCUCUCUCUCUGACUGCCUUCAUCUCGCCUCUCAUCUGUGUUCGAAAUCGAAGCCUCAAUCCUUGAUGGCUGGCUGCUUGGCAAUUUGAUUCAGGAUAUUGUACUAUUUUUCUUGGUUGACUCUAAGCAAGUAUUUGAGGUUUGCUGAAGCUGAUGUCUCACAAGCUUCAGGAGAAAACAAUGAGUUUCACCCCAGAAAGUUAAGUGUCAGCAUUGAUGUUCCUGGGAAAGAUACAUAUCAUUUUAGGCCUCACUAAGAGAUGGCUGCUUCGUACAGAACCCAAUCCGCUAAGAGAUGGCUUCCUUUUGAAGCUAAUCCAGAUGUUAUGAACCAGGACUAAUGAAGUUGACUUGAUGGUGUUGCAAAUAGAAAUAACUCAAUGGAGUCGGAAAUUGGAAGGACAAGAUGUGCAGGUGUUUCUUUGUGCUAGCUGCUCUCAAGUUCCCUCCACACAAGUGGCCUAUAGAAGCAAAUAUAUGUGCAUAUCAAUUUCUUGUUAGGAGCCACAAAACAAAAUAAUGUAUCGUUGUUUUCUCUGUGUGCCAACUACAGAGACUGAUCUACACCUAAUGAUUUUUGAGUAAAUAUGUGUAAAUCUCAUGCUUGUCAAUGACAAUUUGUGAAAUAGUUAGUCAUGAUUCUUAGAAUAAGAGUAUUAUCUACCUUGUAAUAAA